rnacentral:rRNA from 1 species
GAUGAACGCUGGCGGCGUGCCUAAUACAUGCAAGUCGAGCGAACAGAUAAGGAGCUUGCUCCUUUGACGUUAGCGGCGGACGGGUGAGUAACACGUGGGUAACCUACCUAUAAGACUGGAAUAACUCCGGGAAACCGGGGCUAAUGCCGGAUAACAUUUAGAACCGCAUGGUUCUAAAGUGAAAGAUGGUUUUACUAUCACUUAUAGAUGGACCCGCGCCGUAUUAGCUAGUUGGUAAGGUAACGGCUUACCAAGGCAACGAUACGUAGCCGACCUGAGAGGGUGAUCGGCCACACUGGAACUGAGACACGGACCAGGCUCCUACGGGAGGCAGCAGUAGGGAAUCUUCCGCAAUGGGCGAAAGCCUGACGGAGCAACGCCGCGUGAGUGAUGAAGGUCUUCGGAUCGUAAAACUCUGUUAUUAGGGAAGAACAAAUGUGUAAGUAACUGUGCACGUCUUGACGGUACCUAAUCAGAAAGCCACGGCUAACUACGUG